GUCGUUGAGCCUUGUUGGCUGGUCACUCGCGUCAUUUCAAGGGUUCGGAAAUGACGGGUGAGCGACAGUGGGUUCCGGUGUCGAAUUAGAUACUUCCGGGAACCCGGAUUGAAACGAUUAUCCGACGAUAAUUGUUUCGACGUGAGGAGCUGUGGUUGCUACCAUGACGCAUGAUUAUUGAUGUUUAGUGGCAGCGGAUGACUCGUAGCACGAGUCGGUACGUUCCGGGAUAGUUCGUGGGUCCCGACGGAAUCCCGGUGCGAUUUUCG
rnacentral:lncRNA from 1 species